UACGAAGGGUGCAAACGUUGCUCGGAAUCAUUGGGCGUAAAGCGCACGUAGGCGGCUUCACAAGUCGGAUGUGAAAUCCCACGGCUCAACCGUGGACGUGCAUCCGAAACUGGGAGGCUUGAGUACUGAAGAGGAUCGCGGAAUUCCCGGUGUAGAGGUGAAAUUCGUAGAUAUCGGGAGGAACACCAGUGGCGAAGGCGACUUCCUGGCCUGCUCUUGACGCUGAGGCGCGAAAGCUAGGGGAGCAAACGGG
rnacentral:rRNA from 1 species